rnacentral:misc_RNA from 1 species
GAUGAAGAACGCAGCGAAAUGCGAUAAGUAAUGUGAAUUGCAGAAUUCAGUGAAUCAUCGAAUCUUUGAACGCACCUUGCGCCCUUUGGACAUUCCGAAGGGCAUGCCUGUUUGAGUAUCAUGAACACCUCAACUCUCACGGCUUGUCCGUGAUGAGCUUGGACUUUGGGGGUCUUGCCGGCCUGUGGUCGGCUCCUCUCAAAUGGAUCAGCUUGCCAGUGUUUGGUGGCAUCACAGGUGUGAUAACUAUCUGCGCUUGUGGUUUUCCAUCAGAUAACCUUCAGUGAUAUGGAGGUUCGCUGGAGCUCACAAAUGUCUCUCCUUAGUGAGGACAGCUCUUUGAACGUUUCAUCUCAAAUCAGGUAGGACUACCCGCUGAACUUAAGCAUAUCAAUAAGCGGAGGA